AACGAACGCUGGCGGCAGGCCUAACACAUGCAAGUCGAGCGCCCCGCAAGGGGAGCGGCGGACGGGUGAGUAACGCGUGGGAACGUGCCUCUUGCUACGGAAUAGCCUCGGGAAACUGGGAGUAAUACCGUAUGUGCCCUACGGGGGAAAGAUUUAUCGGCAAGAGAUCGGCCCGCGUUGGAUUAGGUAGUUGGUGGGGUAAUGGCCUACCAAGCCGACGAUCCAUAGCUGGUUUGAGAGGAUGAUCAGCCACACUGGGACCGAGACACGGCCCAGACUCCUACGGGAGGCAGCAGUGGGGAAUUUUGGACAAUGGGCGCAAGCCUGAUCCAGCAAUGCCGCGUGAGUGAAGAAGGCCUUCGGUUGUAAGACUCUUUCUAGUCGAGAAGAAAGGACUGCAGUGAAUAACUAGUAGUUUAUG
rnacentral:rRNA from 1 species